AACGAACGCUGGCGGCAGGCUUAACACAUGCAAGUCGAACGGGCACCGCAAGGUGUCAGUGGCAGACGGGUGAGUAACACGUGGGAACCUUCCUCGUAGUUCGGAACAACUCAGGGAAACUUGAGCUAAUACCGGAUACGUCCGCGAGGAGAAAGAUUUAUCGCUAUGAGACGGGCCCGCGUCCGAUUAGGUAGUUGGUGGGGUAAUGGCCUACCAAGGCGACGAUCCAUAGCUGGUCNGAGAGGAUGAUCAGCCACAUUGGGACUGAGACACGGCCCAAACUCCUACGGGAGGCAGCAGUGGGGAAUAUUGGACAAUGGGCGAAAGCCUGAUCCAGCCAUGCCGCGUGAGUGAUGAAGGCCCUAGGGUUGUAAAGCUCUUUCAACGGUGAAGAUAAUGACGGUACCGGGAGAAUAAGCCCCGGCUAACUUCGUGCCAGCAGCCGCAGU
rnacentral:rRNA from 1 species